GGGAGCUGUAUGAGCGGUAACGUCCACGUACGGCUCCGUGAGAAGGGCGGUGGAAUAAAAACCUUGUUGUACCUCAC
rfam:Vitis vinifera complete mitochondrial genome, cultivar Pinot noir clone ENTAV115